rnacentral:lncRNA from 1 species
UCAGCUAUCAGACUAUUGUUCUUUAUGACUAUUGUUCUUAAAGUUAUAUUUCUUUGCUUUAUUUUAUUGCUUUACUUAUCAGACCAUAAAAACUAGGAACUUUCUAUGUAUUUUUCCUUUUCGUUUGAAACUUUUAGAUAAUUUUUUUACUUAAGCGCAUGUAGCGUGUGGUUUUAUUGGUGUGAAAAGAAUAUCAAUUUGGUAUCAUAGC